rnacentral:rRNA from 1 species
UACGAAGGGUGCAAGCGUUAAUCGGAAUUACUGGGCGUAAAGCGUGCGUAGGCGGUGAGUUAAGUCUGUUGUGAAAUCCCCGGGCUCAACCUGGGAAUGGCAAUGGAUACUGGCUCGCUAGAGUGUGAUAGAGGAUGGUGGAAUUCCCGGUGUAGCGGUGAAAUGCGUAGAGAUCGGGAGGAACAUCAGUGGCGAAGGCGGCCAUCUGGAUCAACACUGACGCUGAGGCACGAAAGCGUGGGGAGCAAACAGGG